AUACGGAGGGUCCAAGCGUUAUCCGGAAUCAUUGGGUUUAAAGGGUCCGCAGGCGGCCAAUUAAGGCAGAGGUGAAAUCCCACAGCUCAACUGUGGAACUGCCUUUGAUACUGGUUGUCUUGAAUUAUAGUGAAGUAGAUAGAAUAUGUAGUGUAGCGGUGAAAUGCUUAGAUAUUACAUAGAAUACCGAUUGCGAAGGCAGUCUACUAACUGUAUAUUGACGCUGAUGGACGAAAGCGUGGGGAGCGAACAGGAUUAGAAACCCUAGUAGUCC
rnacentral:rRNA from 1 species